UACGUAGGGUGCGAGCGUUGUCCGGAAUUAUUGGGCGUAAAGAGCUCGUAGGCGGUUUGUCGCGUCGGCUGUGAAAACCUGGGGCUUAACUCCGGGCCUGCAGCCGAUACGGGCAAGCUAGAGUUCGGCAGGGGAGACUGGAAUUCCUGGUGUAGCGGUGAAAUGCGUAGAGAUCCGGAGGAACACCAAAGGCGAAGGCAGUGUCCUGGGGAGUACCUGACGCUCAGGUGCGAAAGCCAGGGGAGCGAACGGG
rnacentral:rRNA from 1 species